rnacentral:misc_RNA from 1 species
AAGUCGUAACAAGGUUUCCGUAGGUGAACCUGCGGAAGGAUCAUUAUUGAAUGAAUGUGGGCAAGGUUGUUGCUGGUCUCAGUCAUGGGACAUGUGCACACCUUGUUCAUUCCAUCUUCACACCUCUGUGCACUUCUCAUGGGUUGGGCUGUGUCUGAAAUAUGGCAAUGGCCCUGCUCAUGUGUUAUUAUAAACCCAUGUUUGUUAUAGAAUGUUUUUUGUGCAUGAAUUGCAUAUAAUACAACUUUCAGCAACGGAUCUCUUGGCUCUC